ensembl:misc_RNA Metazoa_SRP Metazoan signal recognition particle RNA
GCCGGGCGUGGUGGCGCACGCCUGUAAUCCCAGCUACUCAGGAGGCUGAGGCAGGAGAAUUACUUGAACCCGGGAGGCGGAGGUUGUAGUGAGCCGAGAUCACACCACUGCACUCCAGCCUGGGUGACAGAGGGAGACUCUGUCUCAA